GUAGGUGGGGUAACGGCUCACCUAGGCGACGAUCCCUAGCUGGUCUGAGAGGAUGACCAGCCACACUGGAACUGAGACACGGUCCAGACUCCUACGGGAGGCAGCAGUGGGGAAUAUUGCACAAUGGGCGCAAGCCUGAUGCAGCCAUGCCGCGUGUAUGAAGAAGGCCUUCGGGUUGUAAAGUACUUUCAGCGGGGAGGAAGGGAGUAAAGUUAAUACCUUUGCUCAUUGACGUUACCCGCAGAAGAAGCACCGGCUAACUCCGUGCCAGCAGCCGCGGUAAUACGGAGGGUGCAAGCGUUAAUCGGAAUUACUGGGCGUAAAGCGCACGCAGGCGGUUUGUUAAGUCAGAUGUGAAAUCCCCGGGCUCAACCUGGGAACUGCAUCUGAUACUGGCAAGCUUGAGUCUCGUAGAGGGGGGUAGAAUUCCAGGUGUAGCGGUGAAAUGCGUAGAGAUCUGGAGGAAUACCGGUGGCGAAGGCGGCCCCCUGGACGAAGACUGACGCUCAGGUGCGAAAGCGUGGGGAGCAAACAGGAUU
rnacentral:rRNA from 1 species